GCACAGCGUUGACGCGGAUGUUGGUGGCGAAGGAAUGCACCUCGUGGCGGACUGAUCGAAGGCAGCAGCAACGUUCGGAACCUCGUCGGGUGGGUGGUCG
rnacentral:lncRNA from 1 species